rnacentral:rRNA from 1 species
GGGUACACGAGCGGCGAACGGGUGAGUAACACGUGGGUGAUCUGCCUCGCACUCUGGGAUAAGCCUGGGAAACUGGGUCUAAUACCGGAUAUGACCACGGAUCGCAUGGUUUGUGGUGGAAAGAUUUAUCGGUGCGAGAUGGGCCCGCGGCCUAUCAGCUUGUUGGUGGGGUAAUGGCCUACCAAGGCGACGACGGGUAGCCGACCUGAGAGGGUGACCGGCCACACUGGGACUGAGACACGGCCCAGACUCCUACGGGAGGCAGCAGUGGGGAAUAUUGCACAAUGGGCGAAAGCCUGAUGCAGCGACGCCGCGUGAGGGAUGACGGCCUUCGGGUUGUAAACCUCUUUCGACAGGGACGAAGCGCAAGUGACGGUACCUGUAGAAGAAGCACCGGCCAACUACGUGCCAGCAGCCGCGGUAAUACGUAGGGUGCGAGCGUUGUCCGGAAUUACUGGGCGUAAAGAGCUUGUAGGCGGUUCGUCGCGUCGAUUGUGAAAACUUGCAGCUCAACUGCAAGCUUGCAGUCGAUACGGGCGGACUAGAGUACUUCAGGGGAGACUGGAAUUCCUGGUGUAGCGGUGAAAUGCGCAGAUAUCAGGAGGAACACCGGUGGCGACGGCGGGUCUCUGGGAAGUAACCGACGCUGAGAAGCGAAAGCGUGGGUAGCGAACAGGAUUAGAUACCCUGGUAGUCCACGCCGUAAACGGUGGGUACUAGGUGUGGGUUUCCUUCCACGGGAUCCGUGCCGUAGCUAACGCAUUAAGUACCCCGCCUGGGGAGUACGGCCGCAAGGCUAAAACUCAAAGGAAUUGACGGGGGCCCGCACAAGCGGCGGAGCAUGUGGAUUAAUUCGAUGCAACGCGAAGAACCUUACCUGGGUUUGACAUACACCAGAAAGCCGUAGAGAUACGGCCCCCCUUGUGGUUGGUGUACAGGUGGUGCAUGGCUGUCGUCAGCUCGUGUCGUGAGAUGUUGGGUUAAGUCCCGCAACGAGCGCAACCCUUAUCUUAUGUUGCCAGCGCGUAAUGGCGGGGACUCGUGAGAGACUGCCGGGGUCAACUCGGAGGAAGGUGGGGACGACGUCAAGUCAUCAUGCCCCUUAUGUCCAGGGCUUCACACAUGCUACAAUGGCCGGUACAGAGGGCUGCGAUACCGUGAGGUGGAGCGAAUCCCUUAAAGCCGGUCUCAGUUCGGAUCGGGGUCUGCAACUCGACCCCGUGAAGUUGGAGUCGCUAGUAAUCGCAGAUCAGCAACGCUGCGGUGAAUACGUUCCCGGGCCUUGUACACACCGCCCGUCACGUCAUGAAAGUCGGUAACACCCGAAGCCGGUGGCCUAACCC